GGGACAGAGGCGGGGACAGGCUAGCAGAGGGAUACGGGGGAGUCGCGCACAGACAGAGCAAAGUCGGUGCUUCAGGCUUUGACAGAAAAAGCUACACUGCUUACCGUGAGCGUACGAGAUGGUCCUCUGGAUGACGUGGUGCAUCACUGAAAAGGUCUUCUCACAGGCCGUCUGAGAGAGAAGAGUGAACAUUAAUGAAGUGGUCAUUAGGGUAGUGGUGUGUCCACGCUAGCAGCAUAGCAGCAAACAAAUCUCCAGUUCCUACAAAGACGGCGUCCACUUUGGGAACUUCUAUUCGAACUCUCUGUGUCGUCCUGCUGCCGUCGGGACGAACUGAAGAAGAA